UACGUAGGGUGCAAGCGUUGUCCGGAAUUAUUGGGCGGAAAGAGCUCGUAGGCGGUUCGUCACGUCGGCUGUGAAAACCCGGAGCUCAACUCCGGGCCUGCAGUCGAUACGGGCGGACUAGAGUUCGGCAGGGGAGACUGGAAUUCCUGGUGUAGCGGUGAAAUGCGCAGAUAUCAGGAGGAACACCGGUGGCGAAGGCGGGUCUCUGGGCCGAUACUGACGCUGAGGAGCGAAAGCGUGGGGAGCGAACAGG
rnacentral:rRNA from 1 species